CAGCUUCAGAUUUACUGGAAACAACACACUGCUAACGGUCUGACGAACAGUGCUGGAUUAAAUUUUACAGGUUUGAAAAACUGUUCUGGAUUCAAUUCUACGGGUUUGACAAUCAAUUCUGGAUUAAGUUUUAUGGGUUUGGCAAACAAUUUUGGAUUAAAUUUUACAGAAUUUAUGAACAGUUCUGGAUUCAAUUUUACAGAAUUUAUGAACAGUUCUGGAUUAAAUUUUACAGAUUUGAUGAACAGUUCUGGAUUAAAUUUUACAGGUUUGACGAACAGUUCUGGAUUAAAUUUUACAGGUUUAUUAAAUCUUACAGGUUUGAUGAACAGUUCUGGAUUAAUGGCUCGGAAUAAGGUGCUGGUUUUGGCUCCUCUCAGACCGGGACUCCGGUAACUUUUCUCUGGAGGUCUGUCUUUCCGUUUCUCGGCCUCUGGGUUCGACAUUUUCCUCAAAAUAGG